GAUGAACGCUGGCGGCGUGCCUAAUACAUGCAAGUCGAGCGAACAGACGAGGAGCUUGCUCCUCUGACGUUAGCGGCGGACGGGUGAGUAACACGUGGAUAACCUACCUAUAAGACUGGGAUAACUUCGGGAAACCGGAGCUAAUACCGGAUAAUAUAUUGAACCGCAUGGUUCAAUAGUGAAAGACGGUUUUGCUGUCACUUAUAGAUGGAUCCGCGCCGCAUUAGCUAGUUGGUAAGGUAACGGCUUACCAAGGCAACGAUGCGUAGCCGACCUGAGAGGGUGGGCGGCCACGCUGGCGUGGAGCCAUGGCCGAAGGGCCGACGGGGGGCAGCAGGAGGAAAUCUUACGCAAUGGUCGAAGUUUGGACGGCGCUGCACCGAGGGAGUGCAGAAGGUCUUGUGCUCUGCGAACUCUGUAAUUGGAAAAAAACAAAGGGGUAAGAAUCUGUGCACGUGUAGGCAGCACCUAAUCGGAGAACCACGGCUAACAAGACC
rnacentral:rRNA from 1 species